CCUACGGGUGGCAGCAGUGAGGAAUAUUGGUCAAUGGACGCAAGUCUGAACCAGCCAUGCCGCGUGCAGGAAGACGGCUCUAUGAGUUGUAAACUGCUUUUGUACGCGGGUAAACGCAGAUACGCGUAUCUGUCUGAAAGUAUCGUACGAAUAAGGAUCGGCUAACUCCGGGCCAGCAGCCGCGGUAAUACGGAGGAUUCAAGCGUUAUCCGGAUUUAGUUGGGUUAAAGGGUGCGUAGGCGGGCGGAUAAGUUAGAGGUGAAAUCCCGGGGCGCAACUUCGUACUUGCCUCUGUUACUGUUCGGCUAGAGAGUAGUUGCGGUAGGCGGAAUGUAUGGUGUAGCGGUGAAAUGCGUAGAGAUCAGACAGAACACCGAUGGCGAAGGCAGCUUACCAAGCUACUUCUGACGUUGAGGCACGAAAGCGUGGGGAGCAAACAGGAUUAGAUACCCCAGUAGUC
rnacentral:rRNA from 1 species